GUGAAUACAAGGCAACAGCUGCUUGUGAUCCUCUUCAAAUAACUGUUCAAGAUGUUCCUCCGAGGCCCAGAAUUAAGAUCUCAGGUGAUCUGAAGGAGAAUGAGUCUGUCACUAUAACCUGCUCAGCGUCCACUCCCUGUCCACACUCCCCUCCUAAACUCACCUGGACUCUCACUCAAGACCCUCACAACACAACUGAGGAGAACAAAGAUCGAACCCUCACAACUAAAAUCAAGACGACCAUCAUUCUGUCAGACCAACAUGAUGGAGUCAACAUCAGCUGUUCUGCCUCAUAUCCUGUGGAGGGAGGAAACUAUAAGACAGCAGAGGAAGAACUGACUCUCAGUGUUUCAUAUGCUCCUAAGAACACCUCAGUGUCCAUCAGUCCACCAGGUUUGGUGUCAGCAGGUAGCUGUGUGAACCUGACCUGCUCCAGCAGAGCCAAAC